GUCGUGAGAUGUUGGGUUAAGUCCCGCAACGAGCGCAACCCUUGAUCUUAGUUGCCAGCAUUCAGUUGGGCACUCUAAGGUGACUGCCGGUGAUAAACCGGAGGAAGGUGGGGAUGACGUCAAAUCAUCAUGCCCCUUAUGACCUGGGCUACACACGUGCUACAAUGGACGGUACAGAGGGUCGCAACCCCGCGAGGGUGAGCUAAUCCCAUAAAACCGGUCUAAGUUCAGAUUGCAGUCUGCAACUCGACUGCAUGAAGGAGGAAUCGCUAGUAAUCGCGCAUCAGCACGGCGCGGUGAAUACGUUCCCGGGCCUUGUACACACCGCCCGUCACACCACGAAAGCCGGUUGUACUCGAAGUCGCUGAGCCAACCCGCAAGGGAGGCAGGCGCCGAAGGUAUGGUCGGUGAUUGGGGUGAAGUCGUAACAAGGUAGCCGUACGGGAACGUGCGGCUGGAUCACCUCCUUUCUAAGGAGUACCAUCACGCUUCUAGGUCGAUUUACCCCAGGUCGGUAGCAACGGUAUUUUCUUCCUCUAAGCCGAGCCUGUGGGCACUGACCGGUGGCCAGAACCCCGGGGGAAGGUGUCAAGCCUUCCCCACUAUUUUUCUGGAGAUGGUUGGUCUGUAGGGGCCUUUAGCUCAGCUGGUCAGAGCGCACGCUUGAUAAGCGUGAGGUCCCUGGUUCGAUCCCAGGAAGGCCCACCACCCAGUUGUGGGAUUGACGAUUGUCAAUUGCUGAUUCCGAGAUCGGAAACCGGCAAUGACGCGGGGAUGUAGCUCAGAUGGGAGAGCACCUGCUUUGCAAGCAGGGGGUCAGCGGUUCGAUUCCGCUCAUCUCCACCAACUGACUAGCGGUGCUCGGGCUCCUGACUGUCAGUUCUUCACAGAUGUGGCAGGAACGCAUUCUUGUUUUGCGAUUUCGCGAGUACAACUCGCGUUGCUCUUUGACAAUUGAAUAGGUGAUCCGGGUCUCCACUAGAUUUAGACCUCGAGUGGCAAUGCGAUUUGGGGUCAAGCUACUAAGAGUGUACGGUGGAUGCCUUGGCAUCAGCAGGCGAUGAAGGGCGUGGUAAGCUGCGAUAAGCCUCGGGUAGUCGCAAACAGACGCCAAUCCGAGGAUGC
rnacentral:sRNA from 1 species